CUUUAUUCCUAGGAAAAGCAAUUUUUUUUUUUUGGUGUAGCAGGAAACCAUCAUGCUGUCCAUCAGUUUCUGGCCACGUACCGCAACGUCUUGGCUAGUUACAUCCUUGGAAACAGUGGUUUUGCAAAACAUUAACUAAAGCCCACCAAAACAGGUCGAUAACCUUCAGUCUCUAUUUGCAGACAAAGUGAGUGACCUCAGGCAGGUGGCACAGACAAGGUGAUCCCUGGGGACAUGCCUCCGUCCUGCACGCCUUGGGCUGCACGGCUGGCCCUGGGUUAACUCAGCCUUCCCCAGCUGGUGACAGACCUCAGCCCACCUGGGGAUCAGCAUGCCAGGGAGGUGGAGCUGGUCACCGUGACCCCUGGCCAGCACCUCUGUCCCAAGCACAGCCCUGCUCCAGCAAUCCUGCUUCCUCCCAGAGCUUCCCAGGCUGAGCUCAUUUCCAGCUAGAUCUGUUCCCUGAUCCAGCCCCCCACGGAGACUGUACCAGCACAGCAGGGUGGCUGCGCUGUCAGACACCCCUUUCUGUGGGAGCCUGUGCUUGGUUCAGCUUGAAGUGUCUAAAACAACCCCUGGGUGAUUUCUGCUGCAGCAUGGGGCAGGCACGUCCCUCCAGCCCAGGGGCCAAGGGGGUAAACAGACACAGCAUGGCUGCUGUCACCUUGGGGACUGUCCCUCCUGCUGCUUCUGUCUGCCUCAUCUAGGAGGGGGGAGAACACCUGCCUCUUGGCAAAGCCACCCUCCACAGAGGAUCUUUGAUUUCACAAGGCCAGCUCUGCCCAGACAUCAGCCCCGACACGUGGCUCACCCAGCCAGCGCAGAGGACACAGCAGCAGCAUAACUCCAGCUCUGCAGGGGAGUGCUGCCUGGACACUUGGGUGCAUUUGCUUCAUCAUCAAGGUUAGUGUGGAUUAAGCCAUGGCACAGCUGCUGCUGGAGGCCAGCUGUAGGUGCUGGCAGCAUCUCCCCAUGCAGUUCUGGCCAGGAAGAUGUCCCAUGCCAGAGAGAAUUUCUUCAUGCUCGGAGUGAAAGCCCUCUGUAAUCACAGCUGAAGCAAGACAUGGUCUCUGCUCCAAGGCUGGAGUUUUGCCCAGGGCUCAGUGCUAUCAACUCCCAUGGUCAUUUCCACCACCCCCACUCCCCCCACCUAUUUUCAUAAAAGCCUCAAACAGAAGAGGUGUGCUCAGCUAAGAAUGUCAGCCCCAGUUCAAGCUCAGUGUGGCUUUAGUCUCUUGAACCAACUGCAUAAAACCUGAACAGAGAGACUCCUUGAACCCUGCAGAGCCAAAAAAAAGAGGAGGCAAAGAAUAAAAUGUCCCUGAUUUCUCUUGAAACUCUUUGAAAAGAAAAGCUAGCAACAAUCUUUCAAAUCCAUGGAGACAGCAGCGCUGCCCACACCCCUCGGAGGCAGCCAGCUCUCAGCAACAGCCAGGAUGACCCAUCGCAAACCCAGCCAGGAGCAGGGCAGGGGUCAACACACUUGCAACGGUCUCGAGCUCUGUGCUUCGCUGGAGGGCUGCUGCCCUCCUCCUCCUCUCACAGAGGGUGCACAUGGCAGCUACCUGCCCUGCCACAGGGGCUUGAGAGCCCUGGCUUCAUCCUGCCCUCCGUCAUCUGCUGCAAGCUCCAUCUCUGGGGCAGGGAGCACCCAGGCCAAGGCUAGCACUGCCUGCUGCCCUCUGCUCAGCACAGGGCCAGCUCCCAGCCUCCUUGCAUCAUCCCUUCUGCUUCUUUCCAUGAUCCUCACCCUGGUGGCAGAGCAGGGUCCAGUUAAGCAUUCACAGCUAAGGUCUAAUCCCUCUGGCUAUUUUUAAAACCCCCAUCCUCAUUCCAGUCCUUUGUACCCAAAUGUGGAACAAAGGAUGAGCCAUCCUUCCCCCAAGCCCCCUCUGCUCUCAACUCGGGCACCGACCCCACAAAUUUCUUGGUGGGACAGAUGUGCUUAACACACUGUCCCCCAGUGCAGUGGCCAUGGGGACAGAGCAGCAGUGCUAGCACAGUCCCCUCACACUGGGGAUUUGCCCCAACCAUAUGGGUGGCUGCUUCAUCUCUGGCACAUCCUCCUUGUGCUGCGUUCCCCCUCUGCAUUACGCUUGCUGCCACUACUCCCGUGGGCCAGGGAGGGUCCCCAUUUCUGCUGUGGAGAGGGGAAUGCAAGAGCAAGGUAUAAAUAUCCACAAAGAUUAGCCCUCGCUCAGCACUGCCCUGGAAGAAAGUGUUGAGUGUCACCCACAGCCCACAUUCCCUUUCUCUCCAUGCCCCAGCUGCCUCUCCUGUUUCCAGCCCUGGGUUCACAAUCUCUGCAGCCAGCACUUUCAUUUCAUUCCUCCCUCCACCCCCAUUCCCUCUUGAAACGGAGAAAAUAAUAGAGCCUUUGUUGGGUUGCUGCGGUGCAGGCACCGAGCAAGGAGCCACACGGGGGUAAGGGGCUGCUGGGCACGGCUGCCUGCCUGGAUUACGGCAUUCCUGCACCUUUGGCUCAGGGGAAGUCAAUCCUGCGCCCUGUGGCAUGUAAAGGGACCCUGGCCUUGCUGACAUCCACCAAAAAAAGCAGCCAAACAAAAAAAUAUUC